rnacentral:misc_RNA from 1 species
GAAAUGCGAUAAGUAAUGUGAAUUGCAGAAUUCAGUGAAUCAUCGAAUCUUUGAACGCACCUUGCGCUCCUUGGUAUUCCUUGGAGCAUGCCUGUUUGAGUAUCAUGAAAUCUUCAAAGUAAAUCUUUUGUUAACUCAAUUGGUUUCUACUUUGGUAUUGGAGGUCUUUGCAGCUUCACACCUGCUCCUCUUUGUUCAUUAGCUGGAUCUCAGUGUUAUGCUUGGUUCCACUCGGCGUGAUAAGUUAUCUAUCGCUGAGGACACUGUAAAUGGUGGCCAAGGUAAAUGCAGAUGAACCGCUUCUAAUAGUCCAUUGACUUGAACAAUACUUUUAUGAUCUGAUCUCAAAUCAGGUAGGACUACCCGCUGAACUUAAGC